rnacentral:rRNA from 1 species
CGGCCCAAACUCCUACGGGAGGCAGCAGUAGGGAAUCUUCCACAAUGGGCGAAAGCCUGAUGGAGCAACGCCGCGUGGGUGAAGAAGGUCUUCGGAUCGUAAAACCCUGUUGUUAGAGAAGAAAGUGCGUGAGAGUAACUGUUCACGUUUCGACGGUAUCUAACCAGAAAGCCACGGCUAACUACGUGCCAGCAGCCGCGGUAAUACGUAGGUGGCAAGCGUUAUCCGGAUUUAUUGGGCGUAAAGGGAACGCAGGCGGUCUUUUAAGUCUGAUGUGAAAGCCUUCGGCUUAACCGGAGUAGUGCAUUGGAAACUGGGAGACUUGAGUGCAGAAGAGGAGAGUGGAACUCCAUGUGUAGCGGUGAAAUGCGUAGAUAUAUGGAAGAACACCAGUGGCGAAAGCGGCUCUCUGGUCUGUAACUGACGCUGAGGUUCGAAAGCGU